UAAUAUCAGAAUAUUUUGAUGAGAAAUAGUAAAACUUUUAGUACAUUUAAAUAUUUAUAAUAGUCAAUUUAGAAUAAAAAUAUCUUCAAAUCUAAUCAAUUUAACUUGAAAAAUAACAUAAGUUUUACAUAGGCUCAAUACUAACAUAUGCUCAAAGGCUGAACGAUAUUUCUCUCAAGAAGCAAACGUAUGCCAUGAAUGCUCGUAAUGAAAUGAAGGGUGAGAAAUUGUGGUGUGAAAAAAAGUGGCGAUUACGCAUGCGUGACUUUCGCGUGAAAUAUUCUCUCUCAACAAAUAUUUUCCCCUUUUUUCUAAUGGGGAAAAAGACACACGCUCAAUUUCGUCGCGCUAUUAAAUCGAUCGUGUAAUUAGGGACUGUAUAGAAACAUUGUUGAAAAAAAUGCGAAUUUUCUCUUGAAUUUUGUGUCGCUUUGUAUUAUAUGCAAUUAAAUAAUUUUUUACACGAAUUGAAGUAAGUUGUGACAUUUACACCAAAUGAGAAAAAUAAAUAAUAGUUGAUAGAUCGAAGGAAAAUGGAGAGGAUAAGCUUCACUCUUGUCAGGUACUUCAGUCAUAUGUUAGAUCUCGCAAAGAGAUGAGUCUCAAGAUUAAAAGUAUGUAUUUGAAUCUAACAAUAACUAGAACUCUUAUGGUCGCUAUUGGCCUGUGGCCCUAUCAACAAUCAAAACUUAUUCGAUUUCAAUUUAUUUGUCUAUCCAGUAUUGUGACUGCGAGUGUUAUAUUUCAGUGUACAGUGUUUAUCUCACAAAAAUGUACUCCUGAGCUCAUCAUCAAAGUUCUAUCUUCCGUAUGUUUCUUUCUUUUCUCUUUAACAAAAUACAACUUGUUUUCUCUUAAUCUUGACGUUAUGAAGGAUAUGUUCCAAGAACUAUUCGACGAAUGUAAUAAGUUAAAAGACGCAAAUGAAAUUGCUAUUAUAGACGAAUAUGGGUAUAAUGGCAAACGUAUUGCCAUUUUCAUUACAUGUAAGUUAAUUUUUGUCGAGUACAGUCACAGUUUCUUUUUAAUACGUAAAAACUGUCAAGAUUUCACUGUAAAAAUCGAUUUCGAUAAACAUUUGCAAUUUCUUUGCGUACAUUAUAAUCAACAAGUAACAAAUAUUUUCUAAUUAAUAAUUUCGAAUAAAAUGAUAGAAAGUAUUAUAGUAAUUAAUUGCACAAUAAAAAUCGAUCACAAGU